GAAAACAAGGACUUUUUGUAUUGUUCGAGCAUUCAUAAAUAUCAUUAAUUUUUUCGACAUUUCUUUUAACAUCAGAUUCAUUAACAGUUGUUUGAUUCGCAAUAGCGUUAUCAUUUUUGAAAACACUCAUAGAGUUGAAUGUGUGACUCUGUUGGAAUGCAGGCCAAUACUUCAAAGGUUGUGGAAACCAUAGUAGCGGUGUAUUGAAACGCCAAAAGCACCAUAUAUGCCUAUAGGCAAACGACUUGGACAUGUAAUAACCUGAAAUUAGACUCUGUGAAAGUCAAAAAAUUACAAAGAUAAAGUGAUUAUGAGGAAAAGAGAAAAAUAAAUGCUAUAACUUGAAAGUGAAGUGAUAUAAUGCAAAAAGAAAGCAAGGUCAAACAGAGUUAAAGUAUAAACACUAUGCCACAAUUUCAAUUUGAACAAUUGCUUUGGACCCACUAACUUAAUAAAAUGAGAAGUGUACUUAGGAAAUAGAACAAGUAGAACAGC